CUAACGUUUUCCUAGGAAGAGAUCAGGUGCACCAUUAGGAUAAGCACCAUGCUGCCAGUUCAGCAUUUGCCCAAGUUUGACUUGCCUUGAAGGCCAAAGUUGAUGAUUUUGACUUUUCCAUUCUUCUCUAACAGAAUAUAAUCUGGUUUCAGGUCACUGUGUACUUUUACAGUGUCCAUAGCCGUAGAUUAAGUCUGCUAAUAUUUACCCAAAUAUUUCCUUGACCCUGUACUCCUCUAAGGGGAAAGACUUUCAAAUGUAUUUGUAAAGCUGUAAAAUUUCAACCAGUUUCAUGAUAAGUUAUUAGACUUGUCUCAGACUCAAUUGGAGAAGCAAGAUGAUGUUGGGGUUGAUGAAAAUCUUCAUUAUAUUUGCCAUGGUCAUGUUUGGCUGGCACCAUUGCUUCUUCUUUGCAUGCACUUUGAUAACCCCUGUAGCAGAACUUCCACUGUCCCAGCACCUGCACUAUCCCAAGAUCUCCACUCUCACCGGACCAAUAUUGCAGUAGGACGUCUGCGGUCAGGCAACUCCACUGUCUCAGACCCUCCAAAUUGCAAGACCUUUACGGGCACUGGAAGUUACUGUCCCUAAACUUCCACUGUUGGAAUACCUCAGCUAUAACAAGGACCCCUACCAUUGCAGAACCCCCUUGUCAUAGCACCUCUACAAUUACAAAGAAGUCCACUGUCAAAGGACCUCCAGUGUCUCAGCCCCUCCACUGUUGCAGGAUCUCUACUGUCUCAGGAUCACUACUGUUGCAGGACCUCCCCUCUCUCAGCAGCUCCAAUUUGCAGGAGCUCUCCUAUCAGAGGACAUUUACAUUUUCUGUACUUCCAGUGUCACAGCACCUCAACUGUUAAAAGAAUUUCCAUACUCACAGGCCUGCCAAUGUCUCAGUAACUCCACUGUCCUAGGACCUUUAUGUUAUAGGACCUCUGCUGACACAAGAUGUCCACUGUUGCUAGACUUCCACUGUCAUAACCACUCAACCAUUACAAGGACCGCAAUUUUGGCAUGACCGCCACUGUCCCAUCCCCUCCAGUGUUAUAGGACCUCCACUCUCACAGGAUAAUCCACUGUCUCAGCAAGGCCAAUUUGCAGGACCUCUACUAGGACAGGAUAUCCACUGUAGCUGGACGUACACUGUUGCAGUACCUCAACUGUUGCAGGACCUCCAAUGUUGCAGGACAUGGACCCUCUCAGCUUCUAGAAUUUGCAGGACCUUUACUGGCACAGAAAUUCCACUGUUGCUGGAGCUCCACUGUCAUUUAAAAUGCGUUGUCUCAUGAUAUUCACUGUUGCUGGACCAAUAGUGUAGCAGCACCUCCAUUUUUUCAAAACCCCUCCACUGAUACAGGAUCUCCACUUUUGUAGCAGCUUCACUGUCCAAGCAAACCAACUAUUUCAGGAUCUCCAGUGUCUUAGGGCAUUCACUAAUGCCAGUCCUCCAACGUUGUAGGAUAUUAUCCACUUUCUCAACAGCUACACUUUGGCAGGACCUCUAUUGGCAGAGAAAGUCCACUGUUGCUGGACCUCCACUGUCAGUGCAAAUGCACUCAUUCAGGACCUCUACUUUUCUAAGGACCUCCAAUAUUGCAGGGCCUCAAAUGUCCCAGGACCUCAAGUGAUGCAGCACCUCCUUUUUCCUAUCACCUUUACUGUCCCAGAACCUCCACUUUCCCAGGAACUGUUCUGUUGCAGGGCCUCCAAAGUUAGAAGAACUGCACUGUAUCAAGACCUCAACUGUUGCAGGACCUCCAUCAUUAUAGGAACACAAUAGUUACACUGUCCAUCACCUUCACUCUCUUAGCACCUCCACUCUCACAGGACCUACACUGUUGCAGGAACUCCAAUGUCUAUGCAACUGCACUGUCUCAGGACCUCAAUGAUCCAGAACCUCCAAUGAUGCAGGACCUCCACUGUCAUGGACCUCCACUGUUUCAGGACAUCCACUCUAUCACCACCUAGACUUUUGCAGGACCUCUACUGGCCCAGGAUCUCCAUUGUUGCUGGUCUUACAUUGUCUAAAGACCUCUACUAUCGCAGAAAUGCCACUGUUGUAGAACCUUCACUGUCGCAGGGCCUCCACUGUCCAAGAACUCCACUGUUGCAGGGCAUCCACUCUUGCAGCAUGUGCCUUGUCUCAGGACCUCCACUACAGCAGUCAAAUCUCCACUGUAUCAUGACUUCCACUCGUGCAGGUCUUCCAAUGUUACAUGACCUCCAAUGUGAAAGUAACUCCACUAUCUCAGUGCCUCCACUGUUACAGGACCUACACUGUCAGAGGAUCUGCACUACGGCACCAGCUCCACUGUCACAUUUUUGAAAGCAUUGCUUGUUGUUAGUGUUGAGGCUUCAUGGAGUGUGAUGCUACGUCUGAAAAGUUAAGAAUUUCUUCUUCAGCUCCUACGAUUAAUGUCCAGAUGUGCUAGAUCAGUAGCGCCUGGAAGACUCAAUGAGCCGAUAGCCUUCGAAGCCUCACUUUGUGGUGUUCUGUUGUCUUUUGGGAAUGCUAAAGUCCAGGUGAAGGCAUGCGGUCAGAAGGAUAACUCUAGUGUGGGGUACACAUGAGUUGUGUUGAGUUCCUGCUAGGAAGGGUAGAAAUCCAGAACUGAAAGAAGGCUUAUGGUGGAGCAAGAAUCAUACAAUGCUUAGAAUAGGUAAAACAGAAACAAUUUUGCAGAAAUGGAAACCAGAGACACAGGAGGAACCAGCACAGAUCAAACUGCGUAGGACCAAUCACAAAGGUACCUGCGCUGAGCCUGCCUGCUGCUUGUUCUUUGGAUGUACUCUAGCCUUUAUUUCUCAGGAGAGACACUGUGCUGUCCAAGGAGAGUUUUCUUGCUUGAUUGAGCACAGGAAUACUGCUUGAUUUGGAUAUUCCUAAUUUCUUGGUCCACCCUGUAAAGCAUCUGAGCAUGCUCCUGCUUAGGACAGUCUUGCCCUCUCCUGAAGCCCAGAGGGAUAAUAGGUUGUCUUCUGUGGUUUCAUUGCUGCUUUCGUUCUCCCUGAGGCUGCUUGUUGACUGAAGGCAGAAGACACCCUGGCAUGUAUGUUUUGUCCAGUGUGGUGUCACCUGGAAUGGCCUGAAGAAAAGGCCAGUCCCAGUGGUUCUUCUGAAUCUUCUAUGACUAGAGUUAUGGACAUAGGCAUAAACGAGGCCAUGGGGAAUGACAAGUUCAAUGUGCCAAUGGUGGGUUGGUUUCCACUCCUCUGAAGUCCAGGAUGGAAAGCAGCAUAAUCUUUAAGGGUAGGGAAUGGAGCCCUAACUGGACUCAGUGAGGGAGCCUGGUUGUGAAGCCAGGCACCUGGAUAGCCUGCCCUUUCAGUAAUCCAUUGAACACCAUUGUCCGUUAAUAGUUUUUUUAUUUAAAGAAUCUUUAUUUCUUGGGUUUAGAACUGAAUAUAUUGCAUUACUUCCACAGUUGUAGGGUGUGGCCUGAGAUACCAUUUCCUCAUAGGGAUUUGGGAAACCCUCCCAUUCUUUGAAGCGAGGUUGCAUUAUGAGGUUUGUGACUGUCAGCCUAUAUCUGGGGUUUACUGUGAUUAAGAGAUAAUGAUGAUGGUUGACCAUCAUAAACGUUGACAAAGAGGAGUUCAGGGGCAACAGAAGUGUAAGCACCACAGUGGUGCUUCAGAAUUUGCCCUGGUUCAACUCGGGUACUAAGGCGAAAUUCGAUGAUUUUGUUUUUUUCCAUUAAUAACCAAGAUAAAUGCUAUUUGGUUUCAGGUCCCUGUGAAAUAUUGUGUGCCCAGGGCAGUAGUUCAUCACUGCUAAUAUUUGCAAUAUAUUUUAC
ensembl:lncRNA